rnacentral:lncRNA from 1 species
GGAGAUCCGUGGUCCCAAGGGACGAGAUUCCUCCAGCCUCCUCUCACCCAGACAGCCCUGGCAGAAAGGCCGACAGGGACGCCUGGAAACCUCUUCACCAGAGGCCUGACCCUUGGACGGUGAUUCAGAGCAGGCAUCCAGAGAGGCUGGGGUGGAGAGGAAACCCAGGCCAGGCUGGGGAGGGCUGCUUAGGAAGCGGAGCCUCAAAGAAGGGCCUGUCCUCGGUGAUCUUAAGGGAGGGGAUGGAUAUAUGCCUGGCUCACUGUCCCACGAGGGGCAGCGCCCUGGGUCACCCUCCCUGGGCCUGGCUUGGCUGCCUGCUAUGGGUGUGCAGGGGAGGGCACUCAACCGGCACCUCCGUUACGCACUUCUGUUCCUGUCCGCGUUUCAAUCUGCUGCCCCAGGCGAGCACAAUGUAGCCAUUCAGAGUCUACUCAGUGAUGCGGGGGAAAGUUCAUGGCGCAGCACGAGACAGAAAGGCAGGCCACACGGUGGUAGAUACUCUGUAGAUACUAGUUUAGUGGAAUAAAUGAAUAAACACAUCAAUUGAGAUCAUAUAAAUAAAAACAUGGAAAAAAUCUAAAAACAUACGUAACCUUAUAAAUUGAAACAAAGCAUUGCAAUCAUGUAAAUCUUAAAUAUAGCAAAUGUUCGUGAUGUUGUAUUAGGUGAAAAAAGCUUGUUAUAAAAUGGUAAUAUUCAAGUUUGUAAACAAUUUUAAUCAUGAAAAUCUAAACAUAAAAAUAAACAUCAGCAUUUGAAUCUAAACUUUCUUGGCAUCUAGUCUGUGACAGGCACCUAUGUGCUGACACUCACAACAUUUUGAAGUAGGUUCUGUUAUUUUCAUCUCCGGGUUAGAUAUGAAGAAACUGAGGUGCAAAGAGGCAAGAGGUCACUUAUGCCCGGUCACACCCCAGAGAUGGCAGGACAGCCACUUGAGCCUACGCAGCUUGGCUUGAAGAAAAGGUCAUCGAACGUCACCAGCACCCACCGCGAGCCAGGCUUGCUUUGUGACAUGGCUGAGAGCGUAUGCUGUGACAGCCGUGCACCCAGGGCCUUGGAGAACUUUCAGGCACCAGGUGCCCAAGGCUGCAGUCAUAGACGUGUCUCCUGGUGCAGGUCUCAGAGUGUGCAUCUGACUGGGAGGAGGAGGGGCAGGAACAGCAACCCCUCGCUCUGGGAGUGUCUGCACUUUUUGUCAUCACAACCCUUCGGCCCAGCAUUGUCAGGACCGUCCUGCCGUGUGGCAGCUGAGGAAGCGGCAGCUCGGGCAGAUGAAGCCACCAGCCAUGCCCACAGGUUGGCAGAGGCAGAGGCAGGACUGGAAUCCAGACCUGCCCAGGCUCCCAGCCUCCAUCCUUUCUUUCUCUCCUUCCAUCUUGCUUUUUAUUUUGUAUUUUGA